ACGGAAGGCAGCAGUGGGGAAUAUUGGGCAAUGGGCGCAAGCCUGACCCAGCGACGCCGCGUGAAGGAAGAAGGUCUUCGGAUUGUAAACUUCUUUUAUGUGGGACGAAGAAGAUGACGGUACCACAUGAAUAAGCCACGGCUAACUACGUGCCAGCAGCCGCGGUAAUACGUAGGUGGCGAGCGUUAUCCGGAUUUACUGGGUGUAAAGGGUGAGUAGGCGGGAUUGCAAGUCAGAUGUGAAAAUUAUGGGCUCAACUCAUGACCUGCAUUUGAAACUGUAAUUCUUGAGUAUCGGAGAGGUAAACGGAAUUCCCGGUGUAGCGGCGAAAUGCGUAGAUAUCGGGAGGAACAUCAGUGGCGAAGGCGGUUUACUGGACGACAACUGACGCUGAGACACGAAAGCGUGGGGAGCAAACAGGAUUAGAUACCCUGGUA
rnacentral:rRNA from 1 species